rnacentral:ribozyme from 1 species
AACCGAGUCCAACCCUGGUGUUGGUGUUGGUGUUGGUAUUAGGAGUAAUGAUGCUGUACAAGCGGGUCUUCGAUGGAAAAAACCCGACACUUGGGCGGAUCAAUUUAAACACUGGAUCGUCCAGCGAAAAAAAAAAAAAAAAAAUCGAGGAACAAACGAACGAACAAGAAACAAAGGAAAUGAGUCCUCCAACAAUGUCAAUGUCGUC